GACAGAUUCAGGAAUCCAGCAGCCAAAAACUGAAGCCGGCACUGAAAUUUCUGAAUAAAAAUAUCCCAGUGGGAGAGGGAGGGCCAUGUGGCUGUCUAGUGGCGCUCUGUGCUUGGUGCCAACUGCAUCUCUGAGGACUGACUGGCACAGAAGGUAAUUAUAUCAUUGCACGUUGUGCAGGGAAGCGCUUGGUGGAGAAUCUGUGUGAGCUGCUCAUGGUGGAUCUUCCCGGCAUAGCCCGUCACCUGCGUCUGGUUUUUGCUCCUCAUUUUCUUCAAUUUUCACUCUAUUUAUAGUUGAGAACCUUCCAUUUCCCCCUGGUUGAAAUACAUUAGUUGCUAUGGAAACUGCGAUCCCCCCGGUGUGGAUGGAGCUGAAUGACACCUACAAUUGCAGAGCACGGUUGGCGUUGCCAGGGCUGGGAAAUGGGCGUCGUGGCUGGAGAGGGCACUGAAGGGCACAGAUGAGAAUAAUGACAGCACACAGCACGACCGUCAGGAACCGACGCAGCACCACUGGGUCAGAAGUUGUGGAAGAAGCCAUGGGUAACAGAAGCCCCCCAUGCCCUACACCACACAGAGGGGCGGGUCCCAUCAGAGGCCUAACCCCUGGAGGGCUCUCAUUUUCAAAACAUAAAAAAUGGAGCUAUAGCUGGUACUUGCAAAAAAAAAAAAAAAAAGAUGCAUUUUCAUUUUGAUAAAUACUAGAAUCAUUCUAUUUCGAAUGAGUAUUUUUGCCCUUCUGUAUGGGGUAUGAUGUCCCUCUUCCCACGUAUUUGAGCUCUUCAUGACGUAAGAGAGAGUUUAGCACGCAGCUCUGAAC
rnacentral:lncRNA from 1 species